GCCCGUCAAAAGGGGAUAACACUUGGAAACAGGUGCUAAUACCGUAUAACAAUCGAAACCGCAUGGUUUUGAUUUGAAAGGCGCUUUCGGGUGUCGCUGAUGGAUGGACCCGCGGUGCAUUAGCUAGUUGGUGAGGUAACGGCUCACCAAGGCCACGAUGCAUAGCCGACCUGAGAGGGUGAUCGGCCACAUUGGGACUGAGACACGGCCCAAACUCCUACGGGAGGCAGCAGUAGGGAAUCUUCGGCAAUGGACGAAAGUCUGACCGAGCAACGCCGCGUGAGUGAAGAAGGUUUUCGGAUCGUAAAACUCUGUUGUUAGAGAAGAACAAGGAUGAGAGUAACUGUUCAUCCCUUGACGGUAUCUAACCAGAAAGCCACGGCUAACUACGUGCCAGCAGCCGCGGUAAUACGUAGGUGGCAAGCGUUGUCCGGAUUUAUUGGGCGUAAAGCGAGCGCAGGCGGUUUCUUAAGUCUGAUGUGAAAGCCCCCGGCUCAACCGGGGAGGGUCAUUGGAAACUGGGAGACUUGAGUGCAGAAGAGGAGAGUGGAAUUCCAUGUGUAGCGGUGAAAUGCGUAGAUAUAUGGAGGAACACCAGUGGCGAAGGCGGCUCUCUGGUCUGUAACUGACGCUGAGGCUCGAAAGCGUGGGGAGCAAACAGGAUUAGAUACCCUGGUAGUCCACGCCGUAAACGAUGAGUGCUAAGUGUUGGAGGGUUUCCGCCCUUCAGUGCUGCAGCUAACGCAUUAAGCACUCCGCCUGGGGAGUACGACCGCAAGGUUGAAACUCAAAGGAAUUGACGGGGGCCCGCACAAGCGGUGGAGCAUGUGGUUUAAUUCGAAGCAACGCGAAGAACCUUACCAGGUCUUGACAUCCUUUGACCACUCUAGAGAUAGAGCUUCCCCUUCGGGGGCAAAGUGACAGGUGGUGCAUGGUUGUCGUCAGCUCGUGUCGUGAGAUGUUGGGUUAAGUCCCGCAACGAGCGCAACCCUUAUUGUUAGUUGCCAUCAUUCAGUUGGGCACUCUAGCAAGACUGCCGGUGACAAACCGGAGGAAGGUGGGGAUGACGUCAAAUCAUCAUGCCCCUUAUGACCUGGGCUACACACGUGCUACAAUGGGAAGUACAACGAGUUGCGAAGUCGCGAGGCUAAGCUAAUCUCUUAAAGCUUCUCUCAGUUCGGAUUGCAGGCUGCAACUCGCCUGCUUGAAGCUUGAAUCGGUUGUAAUCGCGGAUCAGCA
rnacentral:rRNA from 1 species